rnacentral:rRNA from 1 species
CACGUAGGGUGCGAGCGUUGUCCGGAAUUAUUGGGCGUAAAGCGCACGUAGGCGGCUUGUUAAGUCAGGGGUGAAAUCCUGGAGCUCAACUCCAGAACUGCCUUUGAUACUGGCGAGCUUGAGUUCGGGAGAGGUGAGUGGAACUGCGAGUGUAGAGGUGAAAUUCGUAGAUAUUCGCAAGAACACCAGUGGCGAAGGCGGCUCACUGGCCCGAUACUGACGCUGAGGUGCGAAAGCGUGGGGAGCAAACAGG